UACGUACUGUGCGAACGUUAUUCGGAAUCACUGGGCUUAAAGGGUGCGUAGGCGGCCAAUUAAGUAGGGUGUGAAAGGCUUCGGCUCAACCGGAGCAUUGCGCUCUAGACUGAUUGGCUCGAGUGAGAUAGGGGUGUGCGGAACUUCCAGUGGAGCGGUGAAAUGUGUUGAUAUUGGAAGGAACGCCGGUGGCGAAAGCGGCACACUGGGUCUUAACUGACGCUGAGGCACGAAAGCCAGGGGAGCGAACGGG
rnacentral:rRNA from 2 species